rnacentral:rRNA from 1 species
GAUCAUUAUUGAAAUAAACCUGAUGAGUUGUUGCUGGUUCUCUAGGGAGCAUGUGCACACUUGUCAUUUUUAUAUUUUCCACCUGUGCACCUUUUGUAGACCUGGGUAAACUCUCUGAUGCUUUCAUUAGCAUUUCAGGUUUGAGGAUUGACCUUUUAUUGGUCUCUCCUUACAUUUCUAGGUCUAUGUUUCUUCAUAUACCCUAAGUAUGUUAUAAGAAUGUAGUCAAUGGGCCUUUGUGCCUAUAAACCCAUACAACUUUCAGCAACGGAUCUCUUGGCUCUCGCAUCGAUGAAGAACGCAGCGAAAUGCGAUAAGUAAUGUGAAUUGCAGAAUUCAGUGAAUCAUCGAAUCUUUGAACGCACCUUGCGCUCCUUGGUAUUCCGAGGAGCAUGCCUGUUUGAGUGUCAUUAAUAUAUCAAACUCUUCAAAUUUUGUUGAGUGUUGGAUGUGGGGGUCUUUAUUGCUGGCUCUCUGUUUGAGUUCAGCUCCCCUGAAAUCUAUUAGCGGAACAUUUUGUGGACCGUUUAUUGGUGUGAUAACUAUCUACGCCAUUGACGUGAAGCAGUUCAGCUUCUAAUAGUCCAUUGACUUGGACAAAUCUUCAUUAAUGUGACCUCAAAUCAGGUAGG